AGACGUGGAAUUGAAGAAAGAAAAGUGUGUAAAACAAGGGUCUGGUGUUAUGGCAGUUAACAAGCUCAAGACUCAGAUUGGAUAAGCCAAGGUGGUCAAAAAACUUUAGUACAAAGGAAGCGGCAGUUAGCGGUUCAACUACAGGAGCGGUUUUCAAUAAGAGACAGUCAAAAGGAUAUUUUGCUUGUGGUAAACUUAAUCAUUAUUUUAAUAAAUAGAAGUAUAGAUCUUAUAAGCGUAAAU